rnacentral:rRNA from 1 species
AUGGCUACCCGCGGGCCGCCUCCGUCGUCGUCAUCAUCCGGAUCCGUGACCGUGACGAUCGACCCCUCCCCUUCCUCCUCCGCCCCUGCGGCCGCCCCGCCGCCGCCGGAGACGGUGGUCCUGCGGCUGAAGCGGCGGGCGAAGAAGAAGGUGUCCUGGAAGGAGGGGACCGUCGACAACGAGUCCCUCGGUCGCAAGAGCUCCAAAAAGUGCUGCAUCUUCCACAAGGAGGUGCCCUUCGACGAGGACUGCAGCGACGACGAGGCGGACGGCGGCCGCCGGAAUCCGCAUGGGGACGCCGGCGAGGGGACCAGCGGCGGCAAGGGCGGCUGCUCUUCCUCCUCCCACGGCCAUGACCACGGCCACAGACACCACCACUGA